CGGCCGGGACGGCCGUGGAGGAGGCGGCGGCGGCGGUGGUGGUGGUAGCGGUGGGGUGAGCGCGGCGGGCGGAGCGGGCUGAAGAGCGGCCGGGCUUGGCAGGGGUCGCCCGUUCAGAGCGGUUCCGUGCCCCCCGCUGGAGGGGAGCCGGUGUUCGGCUGCCGGGCGGCUGCGUUACUGCCCGUGGCAGUGUGAGAGACCGCGGGGAGCCCGUCAGCGGCGGGGCUCCCCUUGUGUUCCCGGCUGCUCUGAAGAGAAAAAACAAAAGUCAGUGGGGUUUUGCGUCUGGGCUGCGGAAGGUCUGGGGCAUCAGGUUAAGGUGUUUCCUUACCUCUGUGCAACUGACCCGUAAUGCCAAAGUGGAGGCUCAAGGAUGGUAAUGGCUAUUCUAGCGUGUUUGAUUUAUCUUUCCAUUCUCUUUAUUUUCACCUGCCGUCGCAGAGUGCUCUCUUCUGGCGUUUGCAUAGCGAACCCCGCGCACACCCCUUCUCCCUGCCGCCCCGCUGAGACCACGGGGUUGCGAGCAGUCGGGACCUCAGAGGAGCAGUACUCACGCUUUCCUGUAUUUCGAAUCGUUACUGCUUUUUUUUUUUUUUUUUUUCCCUUUCCUGCCAAGAUCAUAUACGUUUUGCACCUAGACUCAGUGAUCAUGUGUCUGGAAUGGUAAUAAGAUAAAAGUUGUUCCCCAUCUUAACUGAAGGUGCAAGUACCAGCCUCUCAUCACUUCACACCUACGUCUGCCCUGAAGCUGCAAGCGUCACUGCAGCAAAUGCAGAAAUACCUGAACUCCUGUUAAUGUAAUUGGCUCAAUAUCAGGAAGAGCAAAGCCAUGAUUAUUCAAGUUUUGAUAUGGGCAAGUUACACCUGAAUAAAUUGCGAGAGGCUGAGGUAAACUUUUACAGAAGUACUUGCCACCGUGACCCCAUUAACACCAGUUCCAUCAAGAUGAGAAGUAGGCACUGAAAACCUACCAUCAACAAGAGUUACACCUCUGCAGAUUUCUUCCUGUGACUGCAUCAGAGACUGAUAAAUAUCAACACCUACUCUGCUGGAUUUCUAAGAUGGGUAUCAACAUAAACCAAUUAAGAUUAGCACUAAUUUCUCCAUAUCUUUCUUUGAAAAUCACUGCUACCUCUGCAAGACAGCAUGCAUGUUACUAUUAAAAGAAGGUAAAUAAGAACAAAACAGCUUUGAAGCACUAAGAAGUUGUUUAUACACAGGAGACGUACUGCUUUGCAGCAUAUGCUGUCACUAAUUCCUUUUUCAGUAUUAACAUUCACCUCCUGGUUUUGAGAGUGGGAAUCAAGUCUUCUCUUGGCACAACCAGAAGAGUGUAUUGUCAUGGCAUCAUCAAACUUGGGUCAAAAUUGUUAGGUUCUUAGGGUAAAUAACAACAUGGAAAUACACCAUCAUGAAAUCUGUAAGUCUGCAGAGUGUCUCCCAAGGAAAUAAUGAUACUCCCAUCUUCAUAAUAUUAUUUAGGCUGAAGAAACUGUUAUAAAAUCCGCUGCAGGGAAUCUUUCAGCACUAGCAGACUGUAAAGUCCAGCUGAAAGUUUCAAGUCACACAAGGAGUUUGGCACUUUUUGAGUCAGCACUUAUUUAAGGAUAGUAUUUUGCCUAACAAUCAUAAUACCUUUCAGAUCCCAUUCCAAGUGGUUUAUUUUAGUUGAUUUUUUUCCAUUUUCAACCCACAGAUGACUCUUCCUAUUCAGCUGGUAGGUUUUUAGAUACCCACUCACAACAAAAUCCUUACUGUUCUUUGCACUGAAGAAACACAGAACAACUGGGGUCCCAGUGUGCUAGGUGGUGAAAAAAUAGCAGGGUCAGCCUCAAAACGUUAACAGAAAAUUACAGCAUAGGCAAUAUAAAAAGCUGACCUCUGUUGCAUGUAAAUGGCUACAUACCUUGUGGAAAAGGCUAAACAGCAUUUCUGGUGGCUGUGAGCUAUUAGCAGAAGUUGAACUUUUGCAUUAGCGGUUAGCAUCAGUUCUGUUAAAGCCACUUCCACCCGAGAUAACAUGGUUUCUGUCAGCAAGUAUUACGUAUUAUAAGGCCUCUGUAUUGGUAAAAGCUUAAGGGCUGUGACUAAACACAGCGUCACACCAUUAAUUCUCAUGGAAGCAUGGAAUGUCCUAAUUACUAGAAGAAAACUGACCAGGUACUACCUACUACCAGGUAUGGGAAGUAUAAAUGCCUAAGUGCAAAGGAGACCUUUAGCACCUUUGUUUUUCAGCUGUGCAAAAUCUAAUGUUCAUCCAGAAGGGCACGCUGAGAAAUCAAACUCUUUCUGUUUUAACAGAUGGGUUGCAAGUAAAUCCUGAAAAGCAUGAUAAGAAGUUAGUUGUGGUGCUUACUCAGCAUGGUUAUCAUCAGUCCUCUGCCAUUGAUUCAGUCAGGUAAACCUGUAAAAUAAUUUUGUAAAAAUUCUAGGGACAAAAUCCUGAUGUGUUGUUCAAGAGUGUCUUGCCUGUGGUUGUUGUGCAGAAAUGAAGCACUACAUAGAGCAGUCUCAAAUUGCCAACUGAUGUUCACUUACUGGGAAAAAAACAUCUAUGUGGUCUAAUAAUAGAUCAUUGCUAGAGAUUUUAAUUUUUUGAAAACAUUCAAUCCAAAGCUCCAUCAUACAAACUCAUAUUCAUGCCAGCAGAAUUCAAUAUGCUGAUUUCAUGGUUAUUUUGCAAGAAAGCAUGAAGAGUUUGCGCUGUGUUCUGUCUCACUGAUUUCUCUGAAAUAUACUACAUAUGAAAAAAGUAUGCCAAGUAACAGUCCUUCAUUUGAUCCUUUAGAGUUAAGGAACAGAAGCGCAAGCUUCCCUCAUGCUGCUUAUGCCUGUAGAUGUGGGAAAUAAUUUUCUGCUUAGCCUUUCAGUUCUGUUUUGAAGCUUCAGCAAUUUUGGAAUUGAUACUUUUAAUUUAAAUGUUUUUAAGAACUACAUGGGAACACCUAGAUUCAUUCAUCAGAAGCCAAGUAUGAUGCAAGCAGCUUUCAGAGACAGCCAAACAGCUUCAUUUGCAUCAGCUGUGCAGCUCCCUAUCCAUCUUGAGAUUAACUGGGUUCUGCAGUUGCAAAUACAUUACAGUGAGAGUUACGGUCCUUCCAGGACCUACACGCUGCCCUGCAGGAAGGCUGUCAGGUUGGAGAAGGCAGCGCAUGUGGAACUCUCUCAUCCUAGUUUCUGUCCUUGGUGCGUUCUUUAUAGGUGAAGCUAUACACAGUGAUGGAGGGCAGGAAACCCAGUGUUUUGUUUCUUGGCAGCAUGUUGACCCAGUGCCAGCUCUGCAGCUUUGUUCUGCCUUUUAAUUCCAUUAUCAUCACAUUGGAACACAGAGGUAGCUCAUAAAAUUUCUAAGCACUUGCAUGUUACAAUACAUUUUAAGAGCAACUUGAACAAUGGAAAAGAGAUCUUGCUGUAUAAAGCUAAAAUGUAUCAGUUAAGUCUCAUUUGUCCCAAAUGCCUGGAGUCUUGUUGCUACUAGUUUCACAGGUCAUAAAAGAAAAUUAUGUAAGAUGCCAUAUGUGAAAGGUAGAUGAAAGAUUCAUUGGGGAUAAUAGUUAAAUAUGCUGGUCCCGGCAGGAAAAAAAUGAGUUACUGUCAGGGAAUCCUGGGAAGACUCCCAGAGCUGCAGUACCUGUCCAUGUAUUUUGAACGGCAGACAGCACUCCCGUGAAGUCAUCGUUUGACAUGCGUUUAAAGCCUGCCCCACCACUGACAGAUGCAAUUGCUGCCUAGGACUAGGCAGUGGUUUUUGCACAAUAGCAGCGUUGUUUACAUUGGAAACUAACUCUUUAGGAUAUGUGGAGUUAAUAUCGAUUCAGACACAAUAACUGAAAGGCCUGGCUGAUUAAACAGAAUUCUUAACAAGCAUCAUCUGUAAACACAAUGAAAAUAUACUCCUGCUGCUACAUUUAAGAAAUAAUUAAAAAUAAUUUAUGCCUUUGAAAGUUUUCAGUACCAAGUUUAAAGCCUGCUAGAUACUUACAAACAAAAGUAUUCAGCCACAGGCCUUACAGAGCAACUAUUUUCCAUUACUUCCCAAGGGUGUAUUUACAUACUGUUUUCAUUGCACUUCUGAUUUAGGGGAGUCAGAAUCAUUCUGCAUGGAAUCCCAAGUCACUGUGGCUGUAAACUUACAGCAACAUAAUGCACGUGUCUCCACCAAGCUGAGUGUGAGCUGUGGAAAAUUGAGUCUUUUUUUUUCCUUUUUAUAAAAGGAUGUCCGGCCAUGGAGUUCAUAGUGUGUAUUUUCUUGUCACAGAUGCAGUUUUCCUAAAAGUAGAAGUAAGAUACUAACCAUUUGAUGGCUGAACACAAAUUGAAAGCAGAAAUAAACAUCUGCUAUGUUAGAUCCCACAGCUAGAUAAAAGUUCUUUAACUGUUAUGUGAGAGAGGGUCUGGGUUUGCUUGGGUUUUAAAUUUAUUUUUUUUUUAAAGGGGUCUCAUGUUCUCUAAACGUGAAGUUGUCAUUACAAAUUUAUUUUUGGAAUGACAGUAUGAUAUAGUCUACAGAAAUAAUUAAGUGGGGCCUAAGCUUAUUUUGUUUGCUUGUCUUCCUUUUUUCUAAAGAACACAUGCAGUGUAUUUCACUUUCCUCCCUGGUAUUGAAAACAAAUAAAAAAAAUAGACUAAAACACUGUAGCACUGAAAAGGACUUCCAAAUUAGAUACCUCCUGCUAUCUCUCCAGAAUGUUUAAUGCUUGACUGCCAUGUUGUACCUAAGUUUUAUAUAUGUUAGCCAAAGAAAAUGAACACACACGCCAUCCAAUUGUCCUUUUAUAUUUUUAUUCGGUGUUAAGUAACUCCACAAGAAAACAAAAUCAGUUACUCUGGUGUACGUGAAAUCAGAACAAUACAACCACUUGAAGCAAAAAGUAGAAACAAAUUUCAGCCCAGGAAUGGAAAACUGAUACUUCAGUGCUAUGGAUAUGCAAUGCGCUUCAUACCACAGUGCGGUUCAGCGUAUGCCAACCUUUAAUGCUUUUGUUGUUGUUGUUGUGUGUGUUUCUAUCCAUACAGAAAAACUAAAAACCACACUUCAACUCUUACUGAAAGCUUUAGAGCUUUAGCCAUUAAACUAUGAAAACAAGUAAAGACAAUUUGUUAUUGCCCAAGCUCAAUAUAAGAUUUCGUUUUCCCCAAAGGUGCUGGAAUUAUUACAUGCCACAAUGUAACUAUGAGCAACACCUUUGUUAUUUUUGAGCCCUUUCUUACCAAAGAAGCAGCUCUAGCCAAAAUUAACUGAGCUGAAGUUUGUGUUUGAAAUAUGUCCAUUUGGUCAUUUCUUGUUCUCAAAUGAAGUUCUAUUCCAUUCUUCACUGUAGUGAUUUGAAGAAUUUGUGUGUAAAGUUCUUUUUUACUUUCAUGUUACAGUUAACUAGUUCUCAGUGCAGGUGCUAAAAAACCUCUCAAGGAAGCUCCAGAAGAAAGUAAAAUAUACAAAAAUCUAUCCAAAGUCUGCAAAUAAAUUAAGAAAAGAAACUGUAAAGUGUCAAAAAUUUGCCGUAUGAAUACAAGCCCUAAAACAUAGUCUAUGAGGAGGACCGAAAGAAAGUCCCUGGGUAAGGACAAACCAAGCCAAUUUGAAGUAAGGAUCUCAACAAAAGUGUUGCACAAAGAAUGGCACGGUUUUCCAACCAUGUAUUUCAAUUCUUACAUUAUCAAUUGAGUGAAGGCAACAAAACCCAGUUACUCAGAAAACCUUUCUAGCACAGAACAUAUUUCAAAGGCAGUUCAGCUCUCAUUUCAAACGGCCACGGUUCUCAUGAGGUUUAUUGCCUGUCAAAAUUAAUGGUUAAGCUUUUCAAGUCAGUAUUGGACUUUCUGCACUUCCUGAUGUUAAAGACAUGCUGCUAUUGUAUAGACUAGUUAGUUGUUGUUGUUUAAACUGAGUUGGUAAAAACUUAGGAUGUUUAGUUUUGCAAAUAUUGCUCCUCCUGGCUUAUACAUUUUGCAUAAUGUGUUAAAAGCACAAGGAGUUGAUAGUCUUGUACAGAUGCAACUUGACAAUGUAUUGACUAAGUUAACAAAAUAAAAUUUAAAAGCAAGUCACAUAAAGCAACAAUCACUACUGCAAUCACACAUGUAUGUUGUAAGUCAUCACCUUCCCUACCCCCACCCACCACACACAUAACUUGCCCCACACAUUCUCUCAGAAACACAAAAUGAACUACGAGAUUUACUAAAUUACAGCCACAACAGCAGCUAACUGCAGCAGCCACAGGAUUUCUUUCAAGUGAAGCACUGACCCUUUGCGUUUAAAACAUUGAACACUCUGAGCAUUUUAAGAUAAGUUUCAGUCAUUCAGGCUCAAGUUCAGUACAGGAUGCUUUUGCAGGUUACAUGAAUGCCAUCAUCUGCAACAAGACAACGUUCUCAUUCCUCGCCACAAAAUUCACAACAAUCCACACAUCACCCCAGUGGUUUAUUAUUUUUGGUGUUACUUUUUAAACUUCUGCCCUGCAUUGGCAAGUUGCUAAAAAGGACAAAAAAAAAAAAAAAAAAAAAAGAAAGAAAAAAAAAAGGGAAAAUAAAA